CUAAACCGGGGGUUGCCUCUCGCCAUUGAAAAAGAAAAAUAUAAUGCAAAAUAUAUAAACGUCUCAAAAUGCAAAGUAUUUCUCUCACUUCUCCCUUCUCCGCUAUUCCUCCGCGACUCCUCUUCGCUUCUCCGCUGCUCCUCCGCCUCUCCUCCUCGCUUCUCCGCUACUCCUCCUCCACUUCUUCACCAUUUGAAGAUACUGAAUUUGUGCCAAGAGAAUCAAUAGAUAGUUGCAAAAAGGUUUCGUUGCCACCACUUGAUGCCCCACAUCAGUUGCGGAAGCAUGAAUUGACUCCCUACUAAGAAGGAGCAUCAGGAAGCACGCCCUUUUCUUCACUCUUCCUUUAUGGUUAGUUUGUUUAAAAUUUUCACUAUGAUAUCACCAAUAUUUUCUUAAAAAAGGAAGACCUAAGUUGCAACAUAUGAUAUAAAUAAGCUAGGAAUGAUGCAAAGACAAGAAGUAAUUGAAAUUACUAUAUAUAGUUACAUGAAAAAUGACUUAGAAUUGUAAAAAAAAACAAGUUGCAUAUAAUUAGUCUUGUAGGCAGAUUCUUAAAGGAAUUGUGUGGUCUUGUCUGUAGCUUCAGUAUGUGCACAUUGCAUUCAAGGUAGAUAAUGCAUUGUGUUAUUCUUCUUCUCUGACUAAUUUUAGUUUCAUUGUCUGAAUAAUUGUUAUUGUUGCAAGCUUAUCUGAGAGGUAAAGAAAGUGGAAAGAAGAGCUUGAUGAAGUGUUGCAUAGACGAGGCAAAUUUUGACCAUUCGUUUUUUGGAUAAGAUUUAUAACUAAAUUAAUUUAUGAGCAGCAUUGCUUGACCAUUGUUUGAUAAUAUGGACAUCAGUCCAUAUCUGAUGAAGUUUUUCACCAUUUCGGCUAAUUUUUGACUUCCAAUCAAACCAUGAAAUCUUGAAUCAGGUAUAAUUGUGUGUUCCUAGUAUACCUUUCUUCUUCGGGAAAAUCAUGGCACAGGAGAGCAUGAUGCCUGAAGAGCUCUUAGAGAUAUCAAGAUGCAACUACAAGUGUUGGUGUCUUGAUUCAUGGGAUGCAGCGCAGAUAUGAGUGAUGUUGAUGGUCUUGGCUAUCUACACCACUUUAUUUCUUCUUGCUAAGAUAGAAGUAUUUCUUCUCUUAUUAAAGAACACUCCUCUGCUUUACUGUCACAUUAGUCACCCUUGUAUGUCACCCUCUAUCUAAUUAUCUACUAGAAUAGUUAUACAUAACUAGAUGCACAUUUUGGAAUAUGUUUACCAAAAAAAGUAUAUUUUUUUAGAAAUGUCGACCCUCAUACUCAACUGAAUCUUUGGCGUAGGAAUACAUUGUAAUGUCGAUACUCAUUCCAAUGUCUCUACUUCCCUCCAUUCCUCGUGAAAUAGUGGAAGAGCUGGAAGCUCAUGGGAUCGAUCAGUGUUUAUGGUAAUGAGUUUGACACACUCAAACUUGAAUGUUCUUGCGUGUGUUUCUCUAGAAUAAUUAUGUCUGGGAUUGAGACGUUAUUGUUAUUUUUGUCCACAUGUUUAAAGUGCGAAGAAAAAUGGUAUAUUCUGGAGAUGGUCCAAGUUUUGACGGACUUGGACUUGCUGAUUUUCUCGUACAUUUUCACCUCCACUUUUAGCCAAUGUUUCUCUCUGAUGCAACUAAAAUACAGGUGGUCCUAAUGGAUUCAGCUUUGUUGUUUGGAAGGUGAACAAAUACGUGGAAGAUGGUUUGAUGUAUGUUGCUCGAAACUUUGUUGCGACAUCACCAGCAUCAUACAGUAAAGUUAAAUUUCUGUUCAAUUACCAUGGCAUCAGUCUUUUAGUUGCUGAUGUUUCUGCUAGUUGAUGGUUCUCUAAAUCAUAUAACUCAAAGUCUGGCAUUUGAUAGAGUAGAAUAUGCAACUCAAAGUCUUUCCAUGUUUUCAUCAUUCUCUAUAAUUUCAUUGAUGUCUUUGGUAACAUCUAUUUCCUGUUCUUUGUAAUUUUUCUCUUGUAUGUUCUACUGACUGAACUUAUGCUUUCAUGUAGAGCAAGAUUAGGGAUCUGUGGUGCAGAAUAGUUGAUUUCAAAGUAACUUUCAUUUUGCUGGAAGUUUGAUUCGACAGUUUUUGUAGUGAUUUGAAGUUUCUUAUAAUGGUAAUGGUUGAAGUGAAAGAUAUGUUUCAAUUUAGUUUGUAAAACUAGUAGUACACUUUAUGAUGCAUUUUUGUAUUUCUGAGGUAUUUUGUUACUACUUAAUGUUAAUAAGUCCUUUUAGGUUUGACUAUGAUGUGCAUGUUAAUUCGUCAUUAAUAUUUAAAAUACAACUUUUC